UGAAGGAAAAAGGAACUGCCUGCUCUAAA
rnacentral:piRNA from 1 species